AGCAUAUCAAUAAGCGGAGGAAAAGAAACCAACAGGGAUUGCCCCAGUAACGGCGAGUGAAGCGGCAACAGCUCAAAUUUGAAAUCUGGCCCUCGGGUCCGAGUUGUAAUUUGUAGAGGAUGCUUUUGGCGAGGUGCCUUCCGAGUUCCCUGGAACGGGACGCCAUAGAGGGUGAGAGCCCCGUCUGGUCGGACACCGAGCCUCUGUAAAGCUCCUUCGACGAGUCGAGUAGUUUGGGAAUGCUGCUCAAAAUGGGAGGUAUAUGUCUUCUAAAGCUAAAUAUUGGCCAGAGACCGAUAGCGCACAAGUAGAGUGAUCGAAAGAUGAAAAGCACUUUGAAAAGAGGGUUAAAAAGUACGUGAAAUUGUUGAAAGGGAAGCGCCUAUGACCAGACUUGAGCCCGGUGAAUCAUCCAGCGUUCUCGCUGGUGCACUUUGCCGGGCCCAGGCCAGCAUCAGUUUGGCGCGGGGGAUAAAGGUGACGGGAAUGUGGCUCCCUCGGGAGUGUUAUAGCCCGCUACGUAAUACCCUGCGCCGGACUGAGGUACGCGCAUUGCAAGGAUGCUGGCGUAAUGGUCAUCAGCGACCCGUCUUGAAACACGGACCAAGGAGUCGUCUUCGUAUGCGAGUGUUCGGGUGUCAAACCCCUACGCGUAAUGAAAGUGAACGCAGGUGAGAGCUUCGGCGCAUCAUCGACCGAUCCUGAUGUUCUCGGAUGGAUUUGAGUAAGAGCAUACGGGGCCGGACCCGAAAGAAGGUGAACUAUGCCUGUAUAGGGUGAAGCCAGAGGAAACUCUGGUGGAGGCUCGCAGCGGUUCUGACGUGCGAAUCGAUCGUCAAAUAUGGGCAUGGGGGCGAAAGACUAAUCGAACCUUCUAGUAGCUGGUUUCCGCCGA
rnacentral:rRNA from 1 species